rnacentral:sRNA from 1 species
CCGCCUGCUGGGGCGAGAUGAAGUGGAUGUGCGUGUCAAUGGUCCCGGGCGUGCAUAUCGUAUGCUCGCCGGCUAUGACCUCUGUGCUUGAUGACACUAUCAUGUCGACCUUGUCCAUGACAUCCGGGUUUCCAGCCUUGCCAAUUCCAGCUAUCCUGCCGUCCUUUAUCCCGAUGUCGGCCUUGACUAUCCCUAGCACCGGGUCCAUCACUAUCGCGUUUGUUAUGACAAGGUCAAGUGCCUGCCUGCUGCUUGUCACGCCGCCUGUCUGGCCUGCUCCGUCGCGG